UCCAGGGCUGUUUCCUACUUGACAGGCAGGAGGUGGAUGUUCCUUCUAUGUUUACGGGAUUUAUAGUUAAUCAUAGAGGAAAAUCCACGCGUUUGGUAU
rnacentral:miRNA from 1 species